UACGUAGGAUGCAAGCGUUGUCCGGAUUUAUUGGGCGUAAAGAGUUCGUAGGUGGUAACCCAAGUCUAACGUGAAAUAAUAGGGCUUAACUCUAUUCCCGCGUUGGAAACUGGGUUGCUUGAGCAAGAUAGGGGUCAGAAGAAUUUCUGGUGUAGCGGUGAAAUGCGUAGAUAUCAGAAGGAAGACCGGUGGCGAAAGCGUCUGACUGGGUCUUUGCUGACACUGAGGAACGAAAGCUAGGGGAGCGAAAGGG
rnacentral:rRNA from 1 species